GACGAACGCUGGCGGCGUGCUUAACACAUGCAAGUCGAGCGGUAAGGACCCUUUCGGGGGUACGACGAGCGGCGAACGGGUGAGUAACACGUGGGUGACCUGCCUCUAGCUCUGGGAUAAGCCCGGGAAACUGGGUCUAAUACUGGAUAUGACUCCAUGACGCAUGUUGUGGGGUGGAAAGCCUUGUGCGGCUAGAGAUGGGCCCGCGGCCUAUCAGCUUGUUGGUGGGGUGANGGCCCUACCAAGGCGACGACGGGUAGGCCGGCCUGAGAGGGCGACCGGCCACACUGGGACUGAGACACGGCCCAGACUCCUACGGGAGGCAGCAGUGGGGAAUCUUGCGCAAUGGGCGAAAGCCUGACGCAGCGACGCCGCGUGA
rnacentral:rRNA from 1 species